GAGGUCCUGGCUCAGGAUGAACGCUAGCUACAGGCUUAACACAUGCAAGUCGAGGGGCAUCAUGACCUAGCAAUAGGUUGAUGGCGACCGGCGCACGGGUGAGUAACACGUAUCCAACCUACCGGUUAUUCCGGGAUAGCCUUUCGAAAGAAAGAUUAAUACCGGAUAGUAUAACGAGAAGGCAUCUUCUUGUUAUUAAAGAAUUUCGAUAACCGAUGGGGAUGCGUUCCAUUAGUUUGUUGGCGGGGUAACGGCCCACCAAG
rnacentral:rRNA from 1 species